rnacentral:ribozyme from 1 species
AGUCGAGUCCUAUCCCUACCUCCUCGCGGUACUGGCCGGGGUGCGAACAACCUUAGAUAAGAUCGGGUAACCAACCCCGAUGGGAGUUUUGGUCGUAUGCUGACUGGGAAGG